GACGAACGCUGGCGGCGUGCUUAACACAUGCAAGUCGUACGGUAAGGCCCUUUCGGGGGUACACGAGUGGCGAACGGGUGAGUAACACGUGAGUAACCUGCCCACAACUUUGGGAUAACGCUAGGAAACUGGUGCUAAUACUGGAUAUAUGCUCCUGCUGCAUGGUGGGGGUUGGAAAGCUCCGGCGGUUGUGGAUGGACUCGCGGCCUAUCGGCUUGUUGGUGGGGUAGUGGCCUACCAAGGCGGCGACGGGUAGCCGGCCUGAGAGGGUGACCGGCCACAUUGGGACUGAGAUACGGCCCAGACUCCUACGGGAGGCAGCAGUGGGGAAUAUUGCACAAUGGGCGCAAGCCUGAUGCAGCAACGCCGCGUGCGGGAUGACGGCCUUCGGGUUGUAAACCGCUUUCAGCAGGGACGAAGCUUUUUGUGACGGUACCUGCAGAAGAAGCACCGGCUAACUACGUG
rnacentral:rRNA from 1 species